GUGAUCAUCCUUCCCAGGCUGAGGGUACAGACAGGAGCUGGCAGAGCAGGGAGGGUGCUGGGCAUCUACCACAGGGUCAGGAGCCCUGGGGAAGUCUCCUGAUGGUGGACACCAGAACUGGUUAACAUCUACAGGCCUGGCUCACCCAACCAAACAUACGGGAGGCCUCCAUCCCUGGGAUUUGCUGGUAGAAGAAAGGGAAUCAGCGCUGACUGAGCUCCUACUAUGUGCCCUUCCUGGGCCUGGCACUGGAAUCACAGGAUGAAUGAAUAAGGCAUAUUUCCUGCCCUGAGGAGGCGUCUAUAGGGGAAGUCGGAAUUAAGGCACCUCCAGAAUUCUGAGGUCAAGGGAAUGUCAACAGAGCUGUGAACAAAAUGCCCAAAGCCAUGAAAAUCUACAGAGAGAGACUCGAAGGGGAGGAAUGGGGCCAGGCUGAGGUCGGGAUGGUGGAGGAGGUGGUGGAGGUGAUGAGGUACCAGAGCAACCUCGAAGAAAGCUGAGAGGCAGGAGACCGCCAAAGGCAAACUUGGAACACCUGGUGACUCCGACUAACUCUCCAUGUGGUGUCCUUGAGGACUUUUAUGAUACUGCUACCACUGCUAAUAGUAAUAAAAGCCACUAUUUAAUGUGUU
rnacentral:lncRNA from 1 species